AACCCUGACCGACAUGUUAAGCAACUUACUUGGGACGAAAUGGGAUCGCUUACACUUGGAUCAUCUCAAAAGCAAAGCUCAAUCGUAAUUUUGCUCCCAAUCUACGAUCAACGUCUCGAAGUUUUUUUUUAAUUUUCUAAAAAAUACUUCGUUAAAUAAAAAUAUUGCAGACAUGUUAAAGCUAACUCUUAUCUUGAUUCUCUCUCUGGCUUUAAUUAGCUAUUGCUGCGCAGAGAUUUUUUAAAAUUGAACAACCCUACCUUUUCCGGUCUGUUAAACAACGUGGUUGGGGUUGUGGGAGACGACGUUUCAAACCUGGGUCAAGAACUGAGAAACGUCACAGGAUGGGUGGGAAACAUCACAGACGUGUACCUUGGGUGAAAUUUCUCAAAUUUGUGAAAUUUUCCUCUGGUUCAAAAACGCUGACCGGAAUUUCUAUCUACAUAUUUGCGUCACCUCAUAUUAAGUCAAAAUAUGAUUAAACUGUCUCAAACUGGACUUGUGUCCAGUGAAAAAAAUUGUGUUUUUCAAAAUUGUAAUCUGAAUAUUAAUUUUAUUGAUUGAUUUUACCAUAAAAUCUACCACUUUUUCUAAAUUCCCAGUUUAAUCAUUACAGUAAUUAGUUAAAUAUUAUACAUAUUUAAUCAGAGAAAAUAAAGUCAUCAUUUGUGAAUUUAAUUAUUAUCAAUA